rnacentral:rRNA from 1 species
GCCUGCGCGUGCCUAAUACAUGCAAGUCGAACGAGUUCUGAUUAUUGAAAGGUGCUUGCAUCUUGAUUUAAUUUUGAACGAGUGGCGGACGGGUGAGUAACACGUGGGUAACCUGCCCUUAAGUGGGGGAUAACAUUUGGAAACAGAUGCUAAUACCGCAUAAAUCCAAGAACCGCAUGGUUCUUGGCUGAAAGAUGGCGUAAGCUAUCGCUUUUGGAUGGACCCGCGGCGUAUUAGCUAGUUGGUGAGGUAACGGCUCACCAAGGCAAUGAUACGUAGCCGAACUGAGAGGUUGAUCGGCCACAUUGGGACUGAGACACGGCCCAAACUCCUACGGGAGGCAGCAGUAGGGAAUCUUCCACAAUGGACGCAAGUCUGAUGGAGCAACGCCGCGUGAGUGAAGAAGGCUUUCGGGUCGUAAAACUCUGUUGUUGGAGAAGAAUGGUCGGCAGAGUAACUGUUGUCGGCGUGACGGUAUCCAACCAGAAAGCCACGGCUAACUACGUGCCAGCAGCCGCGGUAAUACGUAGGUGGCAAGCGUUAUCCGGAUUUAUUGGGCGUAAAGCGAGCGCAGGCGGUUUUUUAAGUCUGAUGUGAAAGCCCUCGGCUUAACCGAGGAAGUGCAUCGGAAACUGGGAAACUUGAGUGCAGAAGAGGACAGUGGAACUCCAUGUGUAGCGGUGAAAUGCGUAGAUAUAUGGAAGAACACCAGUGGCGAAGGCGGCUGUCUGGUCUGUAACUGACGCUGAGGCUCGAAAGCAUGGGUAGCGAACAGGAUUAGAUACCCUGGUAGUCCAUGCCGUAAACGAUGAAUGCUAGGUGUUGGAGGGUUUCCGCCCUUCAGUGCCGCAGCUAACGCAUUAAGCAUUCCGCCUGGGGAGUACGACCGCAAGGUUGAAACUCAAAGGAAUUGACGGGGGCCCGCACAAGCGGUGGAGCAUGUGGUUUAAUUCGAAGCAACGCGAAGAACCUUACCAGGUCUUGACAUCUUUUGAUCACCUGAGAGAUCAGGUUUCCCCUUCGGGGGCAAAAUGACAGGUGGUGCAUGGUUGUCGUCAGCUCGUGUCGUGAGAUGUUGGGUUAAGUCCCGCAACGAGCGCAACCCUUAUGACUAGUUGCCAGCAUUUAGUUGGGCACUCUAGUAAGACUGCCGGUGACAAACCGGAGGAAGGUGGGGAUGACGUCAAAUCAUCAUGCCCCUUAUGACCUGGGCUACACACGUGCUACAAUGGAUGGUACAACGAGUUGCGAGACCGCGAGGUCAAGCUAAUCUCUUAAAGCCAUUCUCAGUUCGGACUGUAGGCUGCAACUCGCCUACACGAAGUCGGAAUCGCUAGUAAUCGCGGAUCAGCACGCCGCGGUGAAUACGUUCCCGGGCCUUGUACACACCGCCCGUCACACCAUGAGAGUUUGUAACACCCGAAGCCGGUGGCGUAACCCUUUUAGGGAGCGAGCCGUCUAAGGU